AUGAACGCUGGCGGCGUGCCUAAUACCUGCCAGUCGAGCGAACAGACGAGGAGCUUGCUCCUCUGACGUUAGCGGCGGACGGGUGAGUAACACGUGGAUAACCUCCCUAUAAGACUGGGAUAACUUCGGGAAACCGGAGCUAAUACCGGAUAAUAUAUUGAACCGCAUGGUUCAAUAGUGAAAGACGGUUUUGCUGUCACUUAUAGAUGGAUCCGCGCCGCAUUAGCUAGUUGGUAAGGUAACGGCUUACCAAGGCAACGAUGCGUAGCCGACCUGAGAGGGUGAUCGGCAACACUGGAACGGAGACACGGUCCAGACUACUACGGGAGGCAGCAGUAGGGAAGCUGCCGCAAUGGGCGAAAGCAUGACGGAGCAACGCCGCGUGAGUGAUGAAGGUCUUCGGAGCGUAAAAAUCUGUUAUGAGGGAAGAACAAAUGUGUAAGUAACUAUGCACGUCGCGACGGUACCUAAUCAGAAAGCCACGGCUAACUACGUG
rnacentral:rRNA from 1 species